CCAUAGGAGUGCCUUUAAUUAUUCGGAUGAUAACUGAAACGUCCUGUUCUAUCAUAGAGUCUCCAGGCUGAGUCAAAGGGCUGGGCCAACAAGCUCUGAGAAAAGGUGUGAUUGAGGCCCCUUUUCUUUCAUAAACCCGACUUAACCUGGACCAGCCAGGUGUGGUGAUGGGUGUCUACAAUAAAUACUCCUACGUUGUCUAUGGUGUGAUAUAAACUCCAGUUCAUGGUCUUAGGAACAGCAGCUCUGAACACACCAACUCAGCUGGGAUUCGAACCCACAACCUUUGGCUACAGCCAUCUGUGUUCUUACAGCCUGAGCUAACAUGCCACUUACCAAAUGAGAACCAACAUGACUUUAAAGUUAUCACUAUUGGUGUAUGAAAUGUCACUGACAUCACCACAUAAUU